UAGGGAAUAUUGCACAAUGGAGGAAACUCUGAUGCGGCGACGCCGCGUGAGUGACGAAGGCCUUCGGGUUGUAAAGCUCUGUUCUCAGGGAAAAAGAAAGUGAUUGUACCUGAGGAGAAAGGACCGGCUAACUUCGUGCCAGCAGCCGCGGUAAGACGAGGGGUCCAAGCGUUGUUCGGAAUCAUUGGGCGUAAAGCGGGUGUAGGUGGCUCUAUAAGUCAGGAGUGAAAUUCCCAAGCUUAACUUGGGAAGUGCUUUUGAAACUGCAGAGCUUGAGUGUGGGGGAGGAUCGUGGAAUUCCAGGUGUAGUGGUGAAAUACGUAGAUAUCUGGAGGAACACCGGUGGCGAAGGCGGCGAUCUGGCCCAACACUGACACUGAGACCCGAAAGCGUGGGGAUCAAACAGGAUUAGAUGCCCUGGUAGUCCACGCCGUAAACGAUGGAUACUUGGUGUUGGAGGUAUUGACCCCUUCAGUGCCGAAGCUAACGCGUUAAGUA
rnacentral:rRNA from 1 species